rnacentral:rRNA from 1 species
GAUGAACGCUAGCGACAGGCCUAACACAUGCAAGUCGAGGGGCAGCACAUGAGUAGCAAUACGAUGGUGGCGACCGGCGCACGGGUGAGUAACACGUAUGCAACCUGCCUGUAAGAGGGGAAUAACCCGGAGAAAUCCGGACUAAUACCGCAUAAGACUUUAGUACCGCAUGGUAUAGAAGUUAAACAUUUAUGGCUUACAGAUGGGCAUGCGUAUGAUUAGCUAGUUGGUGAGGUAACGGCUCACCAAGGCAACGAUCAUUAGGGGUUCUGAGAGGAAGGUCCCCCANACUGGUACUGAGACACGGACCAGACUCCUACGGGAGCAGCAGUGAGGAAUAUUGGUCAAUGGGCGAGAGCCUGAACCAGCCAAGUCGCGUGAAGGAAGAAUGUCCUAUGGAUUGUAAACUUCUUUUUUAGGGGAAUAAAGUGCGGUACGUGUACCGUUUUGUAUGUACCUACGAAUAAGGAUCGGCUAACUCCGUGCCAGCAGCCGCGGUAA